CAGUGUUACAGAUCUUUUAGAAUUUGUCUAGUACGUUUUCCAGUUUUCACCAGAAUCUGCCUCC
ensembl:snRNA U7 U7 small nuclear RNA